rnacentral:rRNA from 1 species
GACGAACGCUGGCGGCGUGCCUAACACAUGCAAGUCGAGCGAGUGAAUCUUCUUCGGGAGUGAAGCUAGCGGCGGACGGGUGAGUAACACGUGGGCAACCUGCCUCAUAGAGGGGAAUAGCCUUCCGAAAGGAAGAUUAAUACCGCAUAAGAUUGUAGCUUCGCAUGAAGUAGCAAUUAAAGGAGCAAUCUGCUAUGAGAUGGGCCCGCGGCGCAUUAGCUAGUUGGUGAGGUAACGGCUCACCAAGGCGACGAUGCGUAGCCGACCUGAGAGGGUGAUCGGCCACAUUGGGACUGAGACACGGCCCAGACUCCUACGGGAGGCAGCAGUGGGGAAUAUUGCACAAUGGGGGAAACCCUGAUGCAGCAACGCCGCGUGAGUGAUGAUGGCCUUCGGGUUGUAAAGCUCUGUCUUCAGGGACGAUAAUGACGGUACCUGAGGAGGAAGCCACGGCUAACUACGUGCCAGCAGCCGCCGUAA